rnacentral:rRNA from 1 species
CGAAGGGGGCUAGCGUUGUUCGGAUUUACUGGGCGUAAAGCGCACGUAGGCGGCUUUUUAAGUCAGAGGUGAAAUCCUGGAGCUCAACUCCAGAACUGCCUUUGAUACUGGAGAGCUUGAGUCCGGGAGAGGUGAGUGGAACUGCGAGUGUAGAGGUGAAAUUCGUAGAUAUUCGCAAGAACACCAGUGGCGAAGGCGGCUCACUGGCCCGGUACUGACGCUGAGGUGCGAAAGCGUGGGGAGCAAACAGG